UGGGGCGGAAGGGCGUGUCCCCGGCCCGCCCCCCGCAACCGCGUUCCACCCGGAAGCAGCCGUUCCCCGGCAGGGUGUGGGGGUCGCACAGGGCCCCCCCCGCGGUUGUUCCCGUUCCCGCCGAAGUGACUCUAAAAAGGCCCAGCAGCCGCGGGCCCGCAGCCACGCCAGGCUCUGGGGCCCAUAAUUCACUGCAAAACGCCCGCGCCCGCCCUCAGAACCGCCCCGCCGGCAGAAGCACGGGACUGUGCGGUAACGGCCUCGGCGUCUCGGCCAGCACGACGGCAAGCUGACCUGUUUCUCGCACUAGUUGCAGUUAAACACGUCCGCCACAUCACCUACCACCGUUUCUUGCUCAUUCACGGACACGUCUGGCUCAGAAACGGGACUGUCAGGAAACGAGACGGAACAAUCUCUGUCCCAAGCUGGAGUCUUCCAGGAGAAGCGUGACUGACGGUCCUGAACCCCAGACUCACAAAAAGAACACGGCAUCAACCCCCCUGUGAGGUUGGUACGGCACAGGCAGCCGGGACGCUCGCGCUGACCUCUCGCCUACGUCUUUCGGGCCCUUUGGGGUAUUUACAGCAUAUCGACUAAAACCCCGUCCUGCCUCGCGCUGUCACGCAGCGCUCGGUAACUCUGCUGAAGUGUACUACCAAAGCACAACACCAUUCUUUAAUCCCACCCGAGAAACGGCAAAAGUCCUUCCCAAAAACAGGACCCCAGUUUAUUGUCUAUCUGGCUUUCUGAUUUUUAAUACCAUAAAACACGGGCCUUUCAUUUGCUAAGUAUUAAACACAUAGUUUUAUCAAGGCAUUAACCUGAAUAUUCAGUUUGGGGGGAAAAUAAACCCCAAACCUCAGAACUCCUUCCCCUGCAACGAUACCAUCUUGAAUGCUAUUUCCAUUCCCCAUCUCCUCUUCCAUAUCCGAACAUCCAGACACAAACAGGUGACACGUCUUACCUUCCAAACAGCAGCCGUUUCCAGUGUGCACAACUAGAAAUACCCUUUACUUCAGGUAUCAAGACAGCGAUAAGGAUUCUGUCCUUACCUUGUAUCUUCCAGGGGUAACUGGACAGAACAUCUUUAGAGGAGGAAGGAAUAACACCAGAUGCUGCAAAGCCAGGACAGGGAACACACUUCCCGGAAGCACUAGUACAUGUUCAGUGAAAUAAUGGAGAAAACAAGGAAUUGAGGUACUGCAAAUGCUUGCAGCACCUCCAUUCCUUGUUUUCUCCUUCUCAGACACCUCUGCUUCAGAGCGUGAGCUCAUUUGGUCCCCAUUCCACUGAAUAAGCUAAGAAACACAGACUUCACACUUUUUUUAAUUGCAAGAGCUCUCUGAAAAGGAAAGGGGAAGCCCCAUUAAUGCUUUCAAAACUUGAUUUUUUUUUUUUUUUAAUACUAGGAUACUUCAUAGAGAAUCCCAUAAAAAUGAAUCUAAAUAAAAUGAAAAAAGAGAGGGCCACUAUUGCACUGUUUAAGCAGGCUUUUAAUUCAGCGGUGGGAUGCUCAGUUUUAUGAAGGACCCGAGUGCUCUGAACCCCUAGUACGAGGACUUCAACCUAGCACCAGUUCAGGAUUCAUGACAGAUUGAGGCACUGGGCACACAGCUACCUGUGCUCAGCAACAGAGGCUGCUGAGGUUUUCAGAGAUUUCUAAGCCACUACAGUUCAGGAGAUUCUUAUCCCACCUCUUCCCUUUGCAUUCCCAGGCUAAACUAGAGUAGCCUGUGUCCUGCAACAUCCCUGCUGUGAUCACUCCCUGCUGGCAGUUCCAAGAACAAAAACUGAUUUUAAAUAGUUGAAUGAUGUUGGAGAGAGCAGCCCUAGAUGUGGAAUGACAUCACCCCUUCAGCCUUACUAGCCGUAAAAUGGCUACUGAUCACUUCCAGACAGAUGGUUUUUGUCUGCCAUGUUCUUUCCCUGCUCCUAUCAGAGAUCUAAUCCUUCUUUUCCUUCCACACAUAAGUAACGAUCAGAUCAAAAAUCUGUAUUUUGAUAGUCCUCUUAAUCCCAAGCACCACGCUGUCUGUCUGUCUUUGGCACCAACUUUCUAGGGAGAGCAGCUGCUACCCCCCUCUUCCCAGGCUGAGAAAAGCAAGCUUCCGAGGUCACGCUAGUGCCAUCUCAGCAGGGCCAAGCGUGCAGCCCUUUCAUACGGGUCAGUUCAUUUUUAUUCUUUCAUCAGCAAUGGGAGCCAAAUCAACCUCCUGAGUGAAUGGUGCUAUUUCAAAGUAAGAACCGCAGACAUAAGACAUGUAGCAGUCACCUUAACGUUAGAGACAUCUCCAGGGACUUCAGCAUUUUAGGGAGUUUCUUGCUCUCUUGUACCUUUUAAAGCAAUCCCAGGAAUGUGCCUCUAAGUUUCAAGAAGAAACUGAAAACGCUCAUCACUGCUGCAUUCUUUCCGCUCCCGUCAGAGACAACUGCCACCACCAACCUGUGUGCCAGGCCGCGGCACUAAGAGCCCACUGUGGCACCCCCUGCACCGUGCACAGCCUUCUCCCAGGCUGUGGCCGCCCUGCGCUGCCCGGCUGCUGAGGGAGAACAAGCUUCUCUGGCAGCUGGUGCAGAACAAAACCAAAGCCUUUGCUCCUCAGGCACAGGCACCGAUGGUUCUGAAUGGCCGUUCGCAGUUACUCAUAGAUCCGUAUCAGAAAGAACGUGCCCAUUUGUGGUAGGGAGAAGGGAGCCACUGAAGUCUGCCAGAACAUGUAAACAGCUCGUUCUUAAGAGCAAGGUCCCAGCUAUUUAUUUCCACUGGCGCUAAUACAGCAAAGGGAUUUUACAAGCGAAAAUUUGUUUGCCAAUGGCCAAAAUAAGAGCCAUGCUUGGAGAAAGAAAAGCGUUCUUACACAGCUCAGAAGCCAGAAGAACGAGUGACAACAGGUCUCCCACGCUUCCAGGGCCACCGCCUCCCGAGGAGGAGGGAAAUGCCAGCCAACGGCCAGCGCCGUACACAGCAGCAGGAGCCAGCUGAGCACGCAGGCAUUCUCAGAGCCGUAUCCUCAUGUACCGAAGCAGGCUACAGCCUAAGAGAGGACUUCAACAACUCAAUACAAGCACCUGGAAAGCUCUUAUAGUUUAUGCUAAGAACUAGGCUCUGAGACAUGACAGCAAAUGACCUUUAAAACAUGAAAAGCAGCUACCAGCUCCAGGCUAAGGGAGUUGCAAAGGCAGUUUAUUUUUACUUCGGAAAAAAAACCAAACAAGACUACAAAAAAAGAAACUUCUACCUAUGGCUGGGUCUUUUAAGCAAUACUAUUAAAACACAGUUCAUGUCUGAGCUGUAACCAUAUAAACGUUUGAUCAGAGGAACAGGCUUGGGGCUGUGGUGUUUCGUCCGUGAUCCCUUGUUCAGUAAAUGCACACGCUGCGCCAAUUAAAACAGAGUUGUACGUUA